rnacentral:lncRNA from 1 species
GGCCUGCGGCAGGCCGCGUGCGGACUUGGUGGUCGCUGGGGUCCGCGACGGGGUGGGGGCUCCCGGGGAACCGCACGCGGCCGGGCCGGGCGGACGACGGAGUGCGGAGGGGGGCGGCUGGCGGGAGGGUGCGCCAUGAAAACAAGGGCUGGAAAAGCGCCGGGAACCGCCUGGACCCUUUCUGGCCGUGUGAGUGUGUGUGGAGUGUGUGUGUGUGUGUGUGUGUGUGUGUGUGUCUCGCCUGGACCUUUUCUAGCCGUGUAUGUGGGAGUGUGUGUGUCGCCUGGACCCUUUCUAGCCGUGUAUGAGAGUGUGUACACGCGCCUACACACACACACGUUGUGUUACCGGCGCUCGGCCGCCGGGGGAAGACCCAGGCCAAUGCCGCCCCCCACCGCCCCCAGCAGUGGGACCUCAGCGCUGCCCUGCUGUGAAGACAGAGCCUCACUCUAUGGAUUUUCCCAGACUGAUUCCUUAUGUGGCAUCUUGGCUAUAAUCAGUCUUGAGACAGGCCACCAAACAAAAAGCUUUUGAUUGCCAGUUUUCGCCACCUGCUGGUUGUUUCACAGCGUUACUCUCUUCAUCCAUCCAAGAAAGUUCUUUCAUCCAUCAUCAAUAUAAAUAUUCUCCAAGUUUAUGAAAUUCAAAAGGUACAUUAUUCUAACAUGAACAUACUAAUGUUUAAUAUAGGUAUGUAUCGGCCAGGUGUGGUUGCUCAUGCCUGUAAUCUCAGCACUUUGGGAGGCUGCGGUGGGUGUAUUGCUUGAGGCCAAGAGUUUGAGACCAGCCUGCACAACAUGACAAAACUCUAUCUCCACAAAAAAUACAAAAAUUAGCGGGGCAUGGUGGUGUGUGCCUGUAGUCCCAUCUACUCUGAAGGCUGAGAUAGGACGAUCACUUGAGCCCAGGAGGUGGAGGCUGUAGUGAGCUGUGAUCACACCACUGCACUGCAGCCUGGGUGACAGACUGAUACCCUGUCUCAAAAAAAAAAAGAAAAGAAAAGAAAAAAAAAAUCAUGUGUGUGUAUCAAAUCUUCCCAGCUAGUAAACUUUUUAUUGAAAAUGUGGGUAGAAUGAGACUAUUAACUGAGGAUAUUGAUAACUAAUAGGUCAGAUGGAAGAGUAAACCAUGGCCCCAACCUGAAAUGGAAAUUAAUCCAUAAAUAAAAUGAGCUGACUAGAGAGAAUAAAAACAAGUAGUCCAUAUAGUUUGCAUAAAAGAAAAAUGAGGCCGAGCGCAGUGGCUCACGGCUGUAAUCCCAGCACUUUGGGAGGCAGAGGUGGGCAGAUCACCUGAGGUCAGGAAUUCAAGACCAGGCUGACCAAUAUGGUGGAACCCCGUCUCUACUAAAAAUACAAAAAUUAGCCAGGCGUGGUGGCGGGGACCUGUAGUCCCAGCUACUCAGGAGGCUGAAACAGGAGAAUUGCUUGAACCCGGGAGGCAGAGAUUGCAGUGAGCCAAGAUCAUGCCACUGCACUCCAGCAUGGGUGAGAGAGUGAGACUCCAUCUCAAAAAAAAGAAAGAAAGAAAGAAAGAAAGAAAACUGCUUAAAAAAUAACUUCUCAGCCGGGUGCAGUGGCUCAUGCCUGUAAUCCCAGCACUUUGGGAGGCCGAGGUGGAUGGAUCACGAGGUCAGGAGAUCGAGACCAUCCUGGCCAACAUGGUGAAACCCUGUCUUUACUAAAACUACAAAAAUUAGCUGGGCAUGGUGGCAAGUGCCUGUAAUCCCAGCUACUCGAGAGGCUAGGCAGGAGAAUCACUUGAACCA